AGACAGAGGGUGCGAGCGUUAAUCGGAAUUACUGGGCGUAAAGCGCGCGUAGGCGGCUUAUUAAGUCAGAUGUGAAAUCCCCGGGCUCAACCUGUGAACUGCAUCUGAUACUGGUAAGCUAGAGUUUUGGAGAGGGAAGUAGAAUUUCAGGUGUAGCGGUGAAAUGCAUAGAGAUCUGAAGGAAUACCAGUGGCGAAGGCGACUUCCUGGCCAAAAACUGACGCUGAGGUGCGAAAGCGUGGGUAGCAAACAGGAUUAGAAACCCUAGUAGUCC
rnacentral:rRNA from 1 species